CAAGAUUAAAACUCAAAGGAAUUGACGGGGACCCGCACAAGCGGUGGAUGAUGUGGAUUAAUUCGAUGCAACGCGAAAAACCUUACCUACCCUUGACAUGGUCGGAACCCUGCUGAAAGGUGGGGGUGCUCGAAAGAGAACCGAUACACUGGUGCUGCAUGGCUGUCGUCAGCUCGUGUCGUGAGAUGUUGGGUUAAGUCCCGCAACGAGCGCAACCCUUGUCCUUAGUUGCUACGCAAGAGCACUCUAAGGAGACUGCCGGUGACAAACCGGAGGAAGGUGGGGAUGACGUCAAGUCCUCAUGGCCCUUAUGGGUAGGGCUUCACACGUCAUACAAUGGUCGGAACAGAGGGCUGCCAACCCGUGAGGGGGAGCUAAUCCCAGAAAACCGAUCGUAGUCCGGAUCGUAAUCUGCAACUCGACUACGUGAAGCUGGAAUCGCUAGUAAUCGCGGAUCAGCAUGCCGGGUGAAUACGUUCCCGGGUCUUGUACACACCGCCCGUCACACCAUGGGAGUGGGUUUUACCAGAAGUGGCUAGUCUACCCGCAAGGAAGACCGUCACCACAGUAGGAUUAUGACUGGGGUGAAGUCGUAACAAGGUAGCCGUA
rnacentral:rRNA from 1 species